rnacentral:rRNA from 1 species
CCUACGGGAGGCAGCAGUAGGGAAUUUUCGGCAAUGGGGGGAACCCUGACCGAGCAACGCCGCGUGAACGAAGAAGUUAUUCGUAAUGUAAAGCUCUUUUAACAGGGAAGAAAGAGAAAUUUGACGGUACCUGAAGAAUAAGCUCCGGCUAACUACGUGCCAGCAGCUGCGGUAAUACGUAGGGAGCGAGCGUUAUCCGGAAUUAUUGGGCGAAAAGGGGGCGUAGAUGGCAUAGAAGGUCUUUUGUAAAAAUGCUGGGCUAAACCCAGUAGGGCAAAAGAUACUGGAAAGCUAGAGUAUGACAAAGGCUAGUGGAACUACAUGUGUAGCGGUAAAAUGCGUAAAUAUAUGUAAGAACACCAGUGGCGAAGGCGGCUUGCUGGGUCGAUACUGACAUUGAGGCACGAAAGCGUGGGGAGCAAACAGGAUUAGAUACCCCUGUAGUC